CAACACUCCAACCACUACACUACACUGGCUCUUUUUUAGAGCCAGUGUGGUGUAGUGGUUAAGAGUGGUGGA